rnacentral:rRNA from 1 species
UACGUAGGGUGCGAGCGUUGUCCGGAAUUAUUGGGCGUAAAGAGCUCGUAGGCGGUGUGUCGCGUCGGUCGUGAAAACUUGGGGCUUAACCCUGAGCUUGCGGUCGAUACGGGCAUCACUGGAGUUCGGCAGGGGAGACUGGAAUUCCUGGUGUAGCGGUGAAAUGCGCAGAUAUCAGGAGGAACACCGGUGGCGAAGGCGGGUCUCUGGGCCGAUAUCGACGCUGAGGAGCGAAAGCGUGGGGAGCGAACAGG